UUGCCGGCAGAACGAAGAAGAAGAAGGAGAAGAAGAAGAAGGAGACCACCUCUCCUCCUCCUCUCGACGGACCCCGAGAGAAGAGCAAGGGAGGGCCGUUUCUGUCUUUGGUUAUCUAGCUGUAUGAGUGUAAAUCGACCCAUCAUAAAGCUAGAUAACCGAAAGUAGAAAUGACUCCCACAGACCGCCCCCGGGAGUCGAGGGGAUCCCUCCUCCCGACGUCUCCCGCAAACCAGCCCCGGAGAGCAGCCUCCUCCCUCCCUCCCGGCGGAUGCCCACCCGAUCUUCCACCCAGAUGUGACUGACAAAAAUCCAUAGCUCGGGAUGCCCUGAAGACAGCAAGCGAGAAGACUUGUCUUUUUCCAUCUCUGAGCCUGAAAAGAGGCUGCGCGACAUUCUGCUGCCAAGAUAAGAAACCUCCCAAAUCGGCAUGAACGGCAACCGCACCGAAGACGGAGGGUCACCCAGUGCGCCACCCUCUCCUCCUAGUUGUCCUUCAUCGAGAGAAGCACGUCUGGGCUGGUGGUGCCCUCCGAGAAUGGCACGGAAGGUGGAGGCGGAGAGGGAGACGGGCACCCCUUCCCUGGCGAGAAGACCCUCUCGGUGCCAGGAAGCCAUUUUGAUGGAGCCCAGCGCUGUUUGUAAGAUGGCCGCAUUGUGACGUGAGGUUCCUAUGAUGUGGAAUUCAAUACAUUUGGGAGACGCUAUUUUUUCGAUCUGAUUUCCUUUGAUGAAGACUCAUCUACAUAUCUUGCUUCCUGGAGAAACUGUUUUUUGCACUGACUGUCUUCUGAAUGCUUGGACUCAACAUUUUCCAAAUUGCCUCCAUUUGACAGAAAAGCAAGACAAAGAGACUUCUUACUGGGUGCAACAAAGAAGUAUAGUACAUUCUGUUGGAAAUAGCAACCUUCUUAAGCAUCUAAUAGUUAUUUGUUAUGGAUUGUAUACUGCUUACUGUGUUUUAUAUGUGUGUAUUGGUUUGCAGUUUUCUUUCACCUCUUUGUUGUGGGAGGGGCUGCAGACCAUGUGAUCAGAACUGGGCUUGUUCAGGACUCAGACUCCAUUUUAGACCUCAGAAGCCAUUCGACUUUCAGUGUAGAGACUUCAUUAAGUGAGUACAGUUUAGACUUCAGUGUAUGUUCAGUUUAGACUUCAGUAGGAACAGAAGUAAGCCUUUAAGACUUCAGUGAGAUGUAUGCUUAGAGACUCCAUUGGACUUUCUGACUAGACAGAGACUCCCAAAACAGAGAGAUGCUUUGGACUAUGGAGUAUUGCUUCUAAGAAAGAUUCCCUGUGUUACCUACACAGAGAAACUACUUCAAUUCUACUUGUAACUGGAUUGAUAAGCAAAGUACCUGUAUGCUGAAUACUUGAAGUUUGUGAGUAAACCAACUAUGUUACUUUUAAAGAAGACUGUUCAUUUUGUCUCUUGAGACAAAUAUAUUUUAAGGGGGAGUAGAUUUUAUUGGGCAAUGAAAAAAAACACUUCUGGAACUCUGCUGAAUAUAGACAUUUUGGUACAUUGGUAUAUUUUUGUCCCUAACAGGUCAAAGACAUACCAAGGUACAUCAGUUUAACAACUGAGAAACCUAGUCGCCUUGCAUGAAUGCUGGUGAAUGCCAUUUCCCGCAAAGGGUUGUGACUUCUAACAGGUCAUGCUUUUUAUCAAGAGGUUUUGGCAUAAUUUUGCAAAAGGUUGAGACUUCCUUCUAACAAGGUCAUCCCUUUCCAAAGAUCAUAACAUCUCCAAAAGGUUCUGGAGAUUUCCAUUUUCCAAAAGGUCAUGUGACCAGUGGUUUUCCAAAACAUUCUCCAUCUUUCUAGUACUUGCCCUUCUUGGCAUGCUUCUGUGUAUUUCUUCAUAUAUUAUUGCUUAUUCUAACCAGUUGACAUUCACUGGAAGCCCCAUCCUCUUGGAAAAGGUGUCAACCUAAUGACCACAUCAAAGAGGACCACCAAUUCCCAAUGUAUACUGUUAGGAUCAUGGCUAAGGUUUUUCCAGAUGGCUUACAGAGGAUACAACAUUGUUUUGUUUUUGUUUUACUAUUUCUGUGCCUGAUUUGUUCAUUGUAAAUAUUUUGCUGCUUUCGAAUUUCUUUUGCUGAAGGAAAGUGGAAUGUGAAUAAAUAAUAUAAAAAAUAAAAUGAUAUUUAAUUGUA